UCGUUUUUUCGUUUCAAGUUGUGCCUAUUAUCUGUGAAUGAAUAUCUUAGAAUAUUUACCGAAACAACCAGACGCGGAUCGUUACUUCGAUCUUAUUAGGUAGAUGUCAUCAGGGCGUCAUAGGCAGUCUCUUUAAAUUACUACUAACCAGUUUAAUUGGUAUUUGCCGUCACUGAAAUAUUUUUUCCGUAUUUUAAACAAAACCUUACUUAUGUAUCGACUUGCUUAACUCAAUCGAUGAAAGGCGCGUAAGCCAUAUUAAGAAGAAUGUUUAUUAAGUACUUGACGGUCUGACAAACAAGCACAUUUCUUUUCACGUAUUACCCGACAUAACCUACUCCUUUCCGUUCCCAAGAGUAUCUUUACUGCCUCUCUUUGCUCUAUUAAAGAAUUGUUUGCGAUCCCGGUACCUGACGUUACCGACCAUUCAUUCGACAGGCCGCGUUUUCGUAAGUCGGAGCAUCCUGAUGGAGUUUAAAUGUUCAGGAAUGAUGUAUUUUGCGCGGUAGAAGUUGUGCUAGUUAUCAGUCUGAUAGAGAAGUGCCUGACAUAUUAAUAGACAUUUAGGUAUGUUAAGUACGUAAUUUUAAAAUAAUGGGCGAUUUCCCGAAGCCGUCUCUUAAAGUGAGAUUGUCAACAUCAACAUGGAAUGAUUAAUGUUAAAUGACGACCAUACGUCAGCAGUGGAAUACGUCUCUGAUUAGUUGAUUCAUAUUUCCUCCCUUCUCUAAUAUAAACAUGAGGCAUCCAAUCAGGGACUUGUUCCACAGCCGCCAUCACAUUUUGAUCAUUUCAUUUUGAUAUAGGUACUCAUUUAGUUGUUUAAUUAAAACGUCAAUAAAUAAUGUGCAAUUGUGAAAAGACGUCAUCCGUCAUCAUUUAUAUGCUAAGACUUUUUAAAUUUAUACCUUCAAUCCUAUUAUACGCUUUGUUUGUUUGGUCUUACUGUGUUUAUGUGAUACAUUACCUAUGCAAUCAAUUGCCGCACAAGGAAACUUUCAUAACAUUUUUGGGUCUUCUGUUGUUCAUGACGAUUUGGUGUCUCGUUGCAACUCUUUUUACGAAACAUAGAAAUGUCCCUGCACAAUUCAGACCUUCUCCUCAAACUCAAAAAAAAAUCGCCGACUCUGACGAUGUUAACGAAAUAAACGAAUUGCUAGUCAAAUUUGUUGAAGUUAAUAAACUUCCAAUUUCGAUGCGCACCAGAGAUUGUAAAAUGCGUUAUUGUUUAAAAUGUGGACACAUAAAACCUGACAGAUGCCACCAUUGCUCCUCGUGCAACGCAUGUAGACUGAAAAUGGAUCAUCAUUGUCCAUGGAUAAAUAAAUGCAUUGCUUUCUCUAAUUAUAAAAAAUUCGUAAAUCUAUUAUUUUCUACUUCACUUUAUUGUGCCUUCCAUUUUGGUACCAGUUUGCCUUUUUUGAUUGACGAAUGGCAACGGGAAAAUUUAACGAAGCACUUACAUUUUAUUAUAGGUUGUAUCAUAAUGUGUUUCGCUUUUGCUGUUAUCGCAUCGUUUUUGUUCUUCCACUUAAGUAUAAUUUUCAAAAAUGUAACAACAUUGGAAGCAUUAUAUCCACCGAUAUUUUGUCCAGAAGAUUUAACAUUUAAUUUGGGAUGCCCCAAAAAUUCGAUAACAGUCUUUGGUUCUAAAUAUUUACUGUGGUGUCUCCCUUUGGAC